CUCGGACGUCCUGCAAGUCUUUCUUCAGCUUUCUUCAUGCUAGAAUGUUUAGCUUCUUCAGGCUCUGCUCCUUGCUCGCUUUGCAGAGACCCAGCUGCUGAUUUCAUUGCUGCUCACCGCCUCUCAGAUGUGCUUCUGAAGGUCAGUCUGGAUGAGACCGCGUCCAAACGCUCCAUGCUGGGCCUCGGACCCACGCAGGCGGGGGGCGUGUCUGGAUGGCCUACAGAGCUCCGAACAGAUUUGUCCACAGGACUUCUGACAAUGACCCAGUUUGGACAGAGGGAUGGUGCAGAAACAAAGGCUGCCCCAGUGGUGGAUGACCCUGUGCAGAGUGAAGGAGUCGACAGCGACCGUUUCAGCAGUAACUCCAGCUUCCUCGCUAAUGAAAAGCUCAUGUCUGUGGACAGUUUAAGCAGCAAUGCGACAGAUGAUGAUGAUGACCUGAACAACCUGCCUGAAGAUGAGCUGGAGGUCUACUUCAAUCAGCUGGUCCCUCUGUCGAUGCAGAGGGGCAGAGUGGAGGGUCAGGAGAUCCCUGUUGCUGUGAGGCUCCUUCUGUCCAAAGCAGAUGACGCUUUCUGACCAAGAAGCAGAAUUCUUAGAGCGGUCGCCGUCGUUCAUAGCGAUGUGUUGCUGUGAUCCACAGGGAGGGGUUGGUGCUGCAGAUGAAUCCGACUCCAGUUCUGUGGAGAUGGAACAGCACAGACACCUGUUUGUUGACGGUCAUGAUCAAGUAAGUGCUUCUGUUAUUCCUGUUGGCUCUCCUUCUCUAUGUGGAGGAUGAUUCUGAUCAGGAAGUGGUCUUUGGUGUUAUUGAUGUUCCUUUUCUUCUCUUGGAUCCAAUCACUGAAAUGAAUCCAGACGCUUUGAUGUUUCUUUGGUGUUUCUGCAGGAAGACUUCCAGAUGCCCAACGUGCGCCUGGCUGCUACAGGUAUGGAUUCCUGCCCAGCAAGUGAUGAAGACACCGAUGACGAGCAGAAAUCUGCCAGAAGGAGCAGUAGUUCUUCCAGGCCACGGCUACUUCCAAGCACAUCCCGACAGCUGGUUAGGGAUCUUUUUUUUUUCUUGUCCCCCCGUCAUACGGUCAGUGGUGGUUGGAUCUGCUGUCUGUGCUGAGCAACAGCUUUCUCAACAGGUUGGAGAGAGUCACCGUCCAAGCUUCAGGCCGGGCCUGGAAGGAGGCAGCUCUGAUGAGGAGGCUUCCUCUGGGCGCGCUGCUCCUUCGCCGUCUGCCAUCGAGCACAGAAGAUCUGCUGAGGGUCAGGUCAUCAACCCCCCCAUUACAGGUGCAGCACACCUUCAUUUUGUGUUGUAGCUGCAGACCGGUACCGGGCCACAGGAUUUAAAAAAAAAAAAAAAAACACACAACCCACAUUUUUCC
rnacentral:lncRNA from 1 species